UACGUAGGGGGCAAGCGUUGUCCGGAAUCAUUGGGCGUAAAGCGCGUGUAGGCGGUUCGAUAAGUCUGCUGUGAAAGUCCAGGGCUCAACCCUGGGAUGCCGGUGGAUACUGUCGAGCUAGAGUACGGAAGAGGCGAGUGGAAUUCCCGGUGUAGCGGUGAAAUGCGCAGAUAUCGGGAGGAACACCAAUUGCGAAGGCAGCUCGCUGAGACGUCACUGACGCUGAGACGCGAAAGCGUGGGGAGCGAACAGG
rnacentral:rRNA from 1 species